UCCUCAGACUCAGGGCCAGCAGCUGCCCAGUCCACAUUGCCCACUGAGUCCACUUGGAAGACGAAAGGCUCACCAACAUGGACCACAGCGGGACCCCAGGUCCGAGCUCCCUGGUACACACUUUUGUUGUUGGAGUUAUUGGCAUUUGGGUCCCUAGCAGGGAUCCCACCAGGCAGUGUGAAGAGGAUUCCCUCUCCAUGGCUGGUCAUCUCUCGGACAGGAGAUGCACCCCGUGACCCUGUCUUCUUUACCCGGACUUCAAUGGUUUCCUCCACCUCUAACCACUUGGGCUGGGGCUGUGAGGCUGGAGUGUGGGCCUCAGCUUCUGUCACAUACAAUGCAGGCACUGGGGCCUUCCUGCCUUGUUCUACUUCAAGCCUCCGGGAUGGGCUGGUCCCUGGUGGGUACAGCAUCUCAGGGGCCAACAGCCCUGGCCUCCUCGGACUGGCAGACCGGCGGGAGGGUGAACGGGAGGGAGACUUGCUGGGGGACUGUCGUCGGCCACGAGGACUCUUCACUACGGUGGUGAUGGUCUCCUCUCUGGUAGGGGGAGAGGGCCCAAGAAGAGAUGGCCAAGAGACCCACAACCUCACCCAGCAUAGUGCCAUCCACAUGUGUCAGAGCCCAAGUUAGUGCAUGUGUCAGUGAGCAGAGGAUAAGACAGCACAAACUCCUGCCCAUGCACUUGAGGUCAACCUGCACUACCCUAGCUAAGAAAAUAAACCAGAAAAACCAAAGAAACAAAGCACAAA
rnacentral:lncRNA from 1 species